CCUACGGGAGGCAGCAGUGAGGAAUAUUGGUCAAUGGACGAGAGUCUGAACCAGCCAAGUAGCGUGAAGGAUGACUGCCCUAUGGGUUGUAAACUUCUUUUAUAUGGGAAUAAAACGUUCCACGUGUGGGAUUUUGUAUGUACCAUAUGAAUAAGGAUCGGCUAACUCCGUGCCAGCAGCCGCGGUAAUCCGGAGGGUCCGAGCGUUAUCCGGAUUUAUUGGGUUUAAAGGGAGCGUAGGUGGAUUGUUAAGUCAGUUGUGAAAGUUUGCGGCUCAACCGUAAAAUUGCAGUUGAAACUGGCAGUCUUGAGUACAGUAGAGGUGGGCGGAAUUCGUGGUGUAGCGGUGAAAUGCUUAGAUAUCACGAAGAACUCCGAUUGCGAAGGCAGUUCACUGGACUGUAACUGACACUGAGGCUCGAAAGUGUGGGUAUCAAACAGGAUUAGAUACCCGAGUAGUC
rnacentral:rRNA from 1 species